CAGAGUUGAUCAUGGCUCAGGAUGAACGCUAGCUACAGGCUUAACACAUGCAAGUCGAGGGGCAGCAUGUUGGUUGCUUGCAACCAAUGAUGGCGACCGGCGCACGGGUGAGUAACGCGUAUCCAACCUACCCUUGUCCAUCGGAUAACCCGUCGAAAGGCGGCCUAACACGAUAUGCGGUUCACAGCAGGCAUCUAAGGUGAACGAAAUGUGAAGGAGAAGGAUGGGGAUGCGUCUGAUUAGCUUGUUGGCGGGGUAACGCCACCAAGGCUACGAUCAGUAGGGGUUCUGGAGAGGAAGGUCCCCCACAUUGGAACUGAGACACGGUCCAAACUCCUACGGGAGGCA
rnacentral:rRNA from 1 species